rnacentral:rRNA from 1 species
CCUACGGGGGGCUGCAGUGGGGAAUAUUGCGCAAUGGGCGAAAGCCUGACGCAGCGACGCCGCGUGAGUGAUGAAGGCCUUCGGGUCGUAAAGCUCUUUCAGCAGGGACGAAGCGCAAGUGACGGUACCUGCAGAAGAAGCACCGGCUAACUACGUGCCAGCAGCCGCGGUAAUACGUAGGGUGCGAGCGUUAAUCGGAAUUACUGGGCGUAAAGCGUGCGCAGGCGGUUUUGUAAGACAGAUGUGAAAUCCCCGGGCUUAACCUGGGAACUGCGUUUGUGACUGCAAGGCUAGAGUGUGGCAGAGGGGGGUAGAAUUCCACGUGUAGCAGUGAAAUGCGUAGAUAUGUGGAGGAAUACCGAUGGCGAAGGCAGCCCCCUGGGUUAACACUGACGCUCAUGCACGAAAGCGUGGGGAGCAAACAGGAUUAGAUACCCUUGUAGUC